rnacentral:snoRNA from 1 species
GUGCAUCUCUGACAGACCUGGAACAGUUAAUGUCUGCUGCUAAGGUUUCCACUACAGAAGCAAGAAAAAGAAGGUCCUCACGCUUUCUGUCUGGUUGUGGCAGCCAAAAUUGAAUGAGGGAAUACAGGA